rnacentral:ncRNA from 1 species
AUAGGUAGAGGCCGCAUUGCUUAAUAGUAUGUUACGGGAGGGUGACUCCAAGGAUCGUAAUAGAAAGGAAGUUUUGCCGAAACUAAGUAUGUCUAGUCAAGGAUGCUUAGUUGGGGUUAUUUUGAACAAGAAUAACACUGUCAUGUAUAUGGGGACAUAUAGAUGGGGAGCUACA